GGGCCUGCUUUGCAGCACAUAUACUAAAACUGGGAUGAUACAGAGAAGAUUAGCAUGUCCCCUGCACAGGGAUGACACACAAAUUUGCAAAGCAUUCCAUACUUAU
rnacentral:snRNA from 1 species